CUUCCUCUGAAAGAGCCCUCCUCUCUCCCAACAGUGGGCUGACCCGUUCUCCCUCAUUCCCUCCGUGCAGAGCCAGCAGACUGCCGAGCAGGAGAACUGAGGGGCCUCUCAGGACAGCCAGGAUGUGUGCUUCUUCAAGUGGGAAGGCAAGACUGCUGCCUUUAAACCAGUUCCUCGUCAUAGACACCAGACACCUGGCACUGAGACCCAGGGGGAGGCAGAAGUUCACCACUGGAGAAGCCACAAGUUCUUGAGUUUGGCACCUGGGCACCAGCAACAAGCAUGCAGAAACCUAAGAUCAGAUGUAAUCUCUCGGCUACUGCUCCAGAGACAUACCUGCCUGCCUGUCACCACUGGUCCCCACCAUGAUGGUCAUGGACUCACCCUCUGAAACUCUAAGUCCCC